CUGAGGGGAGCGUGGCCGGCGUCCGUCCGCGCGCUCGGUGCCGCCGCUCGCUCGCAGUGGCGGCGGGCGCGAUGCGGGGCUGAGGGGCCGCGACCCCAGCGCCGACCCGCUCAUCCACCGACCCGGCCCUCGCCGCCGGCUUCCGACCCCGCUUUUCCGUUGUUCCCGCCGCUCCCGCCGCCGCCAUGUCUACGGGCUUCUCCUUCGGCGCGGGCACCCUGGGCUCCACGGCGACCGCCGGGGCAGGAGGAGGAGGAGCCGUCGGGGGUUUUUCCUUCGGAACCGCCACGCCGAGCUCAACAGGAGGACUUAAUUUUGGAACUCUGGGCUCUUCCACUGCUACAGCAACUACAUCGGCUCCUUCACUGGGUUUUGGGAGUGGACUUUUUGGAUCAAAGUCAACCACUGGCUUUACACUAGGAAGCACCAGUACAGCAGGAACAGCAACAACUAUUGCUACAGGACUGACAUUAGGCACACCUGCCACCACAUCAGCAGCUACCACAGGCUUUAGUUUAGGUUUCAACAAACCUGCAGGUUCAGCCACACCAUUUGCUUUACCUGUUACUUCUACCUCAGCGAGUGGCCUAUCAUUAUCAUCUGCUCUUACAUCAACUCCUGCAGCAGGAACUACUGGCUUUACAUUAAAUUUGGGUGGCACAACUGCUCCAACUACAACUGCUUCUACAGGCCUUUCCUUAGGAGGAGCCUUAGCAGGCUUAGGAGGUUCACUUUUCCAGAAUACAAGCACAGCAGCAACAGGACUUGGGCAAAAUGCUUUGGGUUUAUCUCUGGGGACAACUGCAGCUCCUUCAACUACUGCCAGUGAAGGUCUUGGUGGCAUUGAUUUUAGCAGUUCUUCAGACAAAAAGAGUGACAAAACAGGAACAAGACCAGAAGAUAGCAAAGCACUGAAGGAUGAAAAUCUACCUCCAGUUAUAUGUCAAGAUGUAGAAAAUCUACAGAAAUUUGUGAAAGAACAAAAACAAGUUCAGGAAGAAAUUAGUAGAAUGUCCUCUAAAGCGAUGCUUAAAGUACAAGAAGACAUUAAAGCUUUGAAACAGCUUCUCUCUGUAGUUGCCAGUGGAUUACAGAGAAACAUUCUUAAUAUUGACAAGCUGAAAGUUGAAACUGCACAGGAGCUAAAGAAUGCAGAAAUAGCAUUGCGAACACAGAAAACUCCUCCUGGUCUUCAGCAUGAAAAUACAGCCCCAGCAGACUACUUCAGAAUCUUGGUCGAACAGUUUGAAGUACAGCUGCAGCAGUACAGGCAACAAAUUGAAGAACUGGAAAAUCAUCUUGCUACUCAAGCAAAUAAUUCACACAUAACUCCACAAGAUUUGUCUAUGGCUAUGCAGAAAAUCUAUCAAACAUUUGUAGCUUUAGCUGCACAACUUCAGUCAAUACAUGAAAAUGUAAAGAUGCUCAAAGACCAAUACCUUGGCUACAGGAAAAGCUUUCUGGGAGAUGCCAUGGAUGUGUUUGAGGCAAGACGAACAGAAGCUAAGAAGUGGCAAAGCGCGCCACGCGUUACCACUGGACCGACCCCUUUCAGCAACAUACCAAAUGCAGCAGCCGUUGCAAUGGCUGCAACACUUACUCAGCAGCAGCAGCCUGCUACAGGUCUGAGUGCAUUCAAGUUAUAGAUUAUUAGUGUUAUGACAAUAGUAAAUUCGUGUAACAUUUUCUAUGAGGUCUUCCUUUGUGUUAGACUAAAAAUCUAAACGUUGUGAUGAGCGAAGUUACUGAUACAUAGCCAAUAGAAAAAUGCAGGGUAGACUUAGCAAUAAUUAUACAACAGAUACUUAAUCUUGUGAAUUUACUUGUAUUAGUGAUACUGUAUUGUUCUAACUUACCCCUUGGAAUGUGAGUCUUCACUCUUAAGUAACAUCUCUGAUUACACAUAGUAUAGCCUCUUUCCAGAAAUUGUAUCAUUACAGUAAAUUAUUUUAAGUUGGAAAGGAGAGAAUAUCUAUAUGCAUACUAUCUUUUCUUUAUGUAAAAUUAAUAAUGCAUUUUUAUAUAGCACUUCGGAACUGUAAAAUGAAAAAUGCUGUAGGACAGGAGGGAUAGUGAAGCAAAUCUCUGUAGAAUAGGAAGUCAAAUGCCUGGUUUAUUUGGUAGCCAACGCUUUUGUCAGUAUGAUGUUGGAGCAUUUUGCUGGCCAUUCUACUACUGUGAAUAAUUAGAAAAGAAAGUAGAGUGGCUCACUGGUUCUGCCUGUGCAUGUGAGUAAGAGGAAGACCAAAACAGAGGAAAUGCAUAACCCACUGCAAAUAAAGAAUGGAUACAUGUGGCAAAGGAAAUAAUUGAAGGCACCUUAAUUGAUGUUAUACUAACCGACCCUCUCUGAGAGUGGUUUCAGAAUACAGACAACUGAAUUUGUGUCAUCAGGGAACAGAUAUAAGGUCAAUUCCAUUUAGUUUUACUUGAAUAGGAAUAUAUAUCUAGGUCAGCAAAUUAUGAAAAGUAUCGGUAGCUUCAUUCUACCUUUAAUUUUCUAAAAUAUUGUUCACAUAGGUGAACUGAAAAUGAUAGUGCUUUCUCUGGUCUUGUAACAGCAGUGAUAUUUUGAAUUGUGCUAAUUAGAGAUGUAUGCAGCAGCCACGUUAAGUUUGACACAUUAUUUGAUUGUCCUUGCCUUUUCAGGAGAGAAAUACAUGUUUCCAGUAGUAUGUUUCCAGCCCUCACCCUUCUAAACAGGAGGGAGAUGGGUUUAAAUUAUAAGUAUGCCAAACUACUUUGAACAGAACCCAAAAGCUUUGUGAAAUACUACUUUUCAGAAUUUCAGUCAUAGACCACAGUCUUUCUGUUGUUGCUAUGUUAAUCCAUUGAAAUUUUGGUGAGGUGGCAUCUUGAAAAGAGUUUGGUUUUAAACAGAAAACAUGAGUUAAUGUAAUACUACACUUCAGAGGUUUUAAUACCGAUAGUAGCAUUGUUGCACACUGUUUGUGCAGCCUAAUAUUGCCAAAGUAAUUUACUCUUCAUUUUUUUCCUUAUCUUACAUUUGUUUUUUUAAAGACUCUCCAUGGUCAUUACAGGAUUAGUUGUUUAUGAAAGUCAUACACUUGGGAUGUCACAUGUAAAAUCAUUCCUGCACUUUUAUAAAAUGAAGUGAGGGAUUUGAAGUUCCUGAACUUCCCAGUCCAGAUUCAAGGGAACUGCUAAUAACUUCAGAAAACUUAUGCCACUUACGGCAUGACUUUGUGAAUAUUCUCUUAGUAAUAGGAAUGAAGAGAGGAGGGGGAAAAACAAAUGGCAGAAUUGGCCUGUACCAGCGUAACUGAGGUAAUGUGACUCUAUACCUUGAGAUAUUUUGUAACAUUUUGUAGAGAAAGGAACAAAUGAGAGUGCGUGAAGGUUGGUUUGUGGUUUGUCUCUUGUUUUCGUGAUUGUUUUGACAGAGUAUUUCAAAAACCAAAAUUGUGCCAAUUACAAGUGUGAUGCCGAUAGAACAAAGCCAUUAACUUAUAUCAAAUAUGCCAACAGAAGUAGACAACAAUAUUUUUACUACCUAUUCUGUUGGAAUACUUUUAUUCCAACCUGGAGGACCUGAAAAAAUAGAAAUAGAUUGAUGUUCUGAGUGGCACUUUAAGAAUACUUGAAACUCUGUAGGGUUAGGUGAAAGAAAAAGGUACUUGGAGUUCUCUCUAGAUCAAAAGUAGAAUUAGUCAGGCCUAAGCUAUUUCAAAGAUACCUUGAAGUCCUAAAAGUUUGUUAGAUGGGAACAUUGCAUAGCUUUCCUAAAUGACUCAUUUUAGUGUUUGACUUUUUCCUAGCUUCAGAUUAAGGCUGCCACUUUUUGUUUUGGGGAAGGAGAAGAAUCUGUUCUUUGAGUUUUGCAGGAAUCUUUAAGGACUGCCUCCUCUUCAUUUCCUUUUCCUUUUUAUUGCUUGAGUUUUCAGAUGGCCAUUUGCUGUAGUAGUGCAAAUGCUGCAUGUUUUAGUUUUGUAUUAUGUUGUUAUGAAUUGGAUAUACUGUCUGCUAGAAGUUAAAAUCAUACAUAUUUCUUAGCAAGAUCUGGAUCUUGAAGGAUGGGAUAGAUGAGGGAUGGGAAAAGGUUCUGAGAAAAAAGGCUAUGAAAAGAGGUGUAUGUAAAGGGAGGGGUGAGGGAUGUCUGUGUAAUACCUGAUCUGCUGUUGCUGUUUUUGAAAAUGAGAAUUAAACAAGAAAAUUAAUCUGGCCUUUAUAGAUUUCUUGAUGAAAAAUGUAAUAUAUAGUACUCUAGCAUUGAGGGAUCAGGAUGCUUAAUCUCUUUUUUAAAAUAUUUGAUGUUUACAAUGUUUAGUAUUUAGUAAGAUGAACUUAGAGUUACUGUUCUUUCUCUGAAAAAGAUUAAUAAUAAUUUAUUUUACAUUUAUUUUCAGAAGUCAAAAGUUUAGUAGCUACAUCUAAGCUGUGGGAUCAGGGAAUGUUUCCCCAGUUCCUGGGUGUAGCAAGGCUGGUCAUGCUUUUCUGCAGUAGCAAAUAGAGUUUUAAACAGUGCCUCAUCUGCACGCUCCCUGAGCAAUCUUGAACAGCGUGGAAGUUACAAUGGUAGUGGCUAACCUACCUAUUUUUGUUGAUGGGAUUACAGUGUAAGAUUUCAAAGGAAAUUAAAGCCCAGUGCACUGAGACCUGUAAAUGCAUGAGGCUGCAACUGAUGUUUUUCGGGUAAGACACAACGGUCUUAAAGAAAUGCUUUUCUUUAGGCUCACCUUUUCUCAUAUAGAAAUAACCGCCAAAGAAACUCACUUUCUCCUUUACUGGUGAAGUACAAAUUGUGAAGCUGUUAGCACACAUUCUGUUUGACAGUGUGAGACUGAAGUUCUAAUGGGAAAGGAUACUCAAGUUUUAUAGCACUUAAACUUUUUAUUGUGUGGUUUGAUAUUGACUUUGGUUAAAGUUAACUAGUGUAUUACUUUGUCAUAAUCAGAACUAAAUUGUAAUGCUAAGUUUACUCACUGUUUAGACCAGCUGUAAUUAAAAAAAUUGCAGAACAUCAGUAGGAAAUCUGUCUGACCUGUCUGGCUCUCUGUAAUGGGUCCUAUUCACUAAACUGAAGUGCUCUACAGGGCAAAUACAUCAAGUUCUAAAAUGUUAAAACACUUGUUACGAAGAAUUUGUCUUGUACCUGUAAUAGCCAGAAGUGCCAUUUUUUCCUUGCUAAUACUCUUGGCUUCAAGGAGUCUUACUAGUCUUUUGCUAUUGAAGAUUAUGUUUACUUACAAGAACUAGAAGCAGUGAUGAUACAUUCAGAACAUUAUGGUACAACAAAUAUUGCUGUUGCUGAAUAAAAAGUUUGUUAGCUUAAGGCAUAAGAUCCUGUUUUAUAUGAUCUGAGGUGUUUUAGUAUAAUGUUUUAUACUGGCUCUAAAAAAAGCAUGUUGCAUUUGGUAAAAAGCUUGGCCUGGAGGACUGUAGUGUUUUGUUUAUAAGGUCUUCCACUAACAGUGCCUCCUACUGAGAUAGAAACCUGUGUACUUGAGAAGGAACUGGAUAUGUGGUUUUGGGUUCUUUCAGUUAAUUAGCUCACUGACUUGUGUAGGGGGUUUUGGUUUUUUAUUGUCAAAUAUUUUCUUAUUUUUUAAGAGCUGCUAGGUAGACGUAUCAGUAUUUAAACUGGAUGUAAACAACUUUAGUUUGAAAUCUGUGGAAAUUUGUAAUUGCAACAUCUGAUAUACUUUUUUUUUUUUAAUGGAAGAAAUAGCUUGGGUUUUCCAGCUAUUCCCUGCUAAGCAGAGAUUGAAGGCUAACAACUUUAGUUGGCCUUAAAAUUUAGUUUUAACACUACUUGGUGUAUACAGAUGUUAUUCAGCUUGGAUCACAUAAGAAUUUUGUGUUCCUAGCAAAAGUUGUUACUUUUCAACAUACAGUGCCUUUCACUUGAUUCAAAAGGAUUUUCCAUCUAAAUCUUGAAAUACAGAAAUUAUUUUAAGAGCUUGAAAUAUUCGCAUUUUAGAACUCUGUAUAAAUAUUAGAAACAGGAAAAUUUGAAUGAAAAUAGCCCAGAUGUCAUCAUGGUUUAGGAAAAAGGUCAAAUCAUCUGAGCUUUAUAGUAAUAUUUGAAUAAAUCAUCACUUUCACAGAUAUAGGAUGUCAAGAAUGUUCAAAAAUGGAGAAGGCCAUCUUGAGCAGAGGUGCGGAUGUCUGUGGAUUAAGAGUUUGGCACUGUAUUUUAUCUUUAAUGGUUAAACUUUUAAAAUAGUGCACUGAAAACUGUUUGGAAAAGACAGGAAUAGAAGAUUGUACUGUGAAAACUGUCAAAAUAUAUUAAUUAUUUAUCAGAAUUAAUUAUUUUAAAAUGUGUUAGUGACGGGCUAGCAAGUUAAUUCUUUAUUCCCCGAGGUUAAGAUAAAAAAAGGAACUGAGACUGUAAAUUUCCUCUUGGGAGACUGAAAUUGUUUUUUGACAGUCCUGCAUCUUAAUGUGUGAAUAUGCAGGGAAAGUACUGUCAACUUUUUUAAAUUAUGGAACAAACUCUGAAAUUUUGAAUGUAUCUAAUUCAUUAAGGUACACAGAACUGUGCCUUUUGUAAAUGGUUAUUUAAACAGGUGGUUUGACUAGUUUACCCUAUUGAAUGGUGUUAUGUAGCAGAGCUUAACAGAACUCAGUUAUCACUUGUGUGGAAAAAAAAUGAAUUGUCAUGUUACUGUGUAAUUGACUUGCUUAAAAAUGAACAAUAAAUUUAAUAAAAUAAAGUCAUUGUCUUGUUUUUUUAUCUUAGUGUUCUGUUUAAAUUUGGAUGGUAUACUGGAGUAGUUUUGAAGAAUCCUAUUUAUUAAAUUAAUUUUAGGUAAUACAGUUUUAGUUACAUUAGUGUCAGUUCUUAUGUUUCUCAUUUGAAAGUUUUCCCUUACUCUGAUUCCAUUAAUACAGGUGGCAAAAUGUUGUUACCUAUGAGUUCUCUCAAGGUUUUGAUUAACAUUUUAAAGCUGAAGGUGAGACUGGUUAACUUUUAAAAAUACUAAAUUAUAUUGUUAUGUUAUUAGUUUGGGUUAGUUUCACCUUACUGCAAUCAGUA